rnacentral:tRNA from 1 species
GGAGGGAUUGGAGAGUGGUUAAAUCCAGCGGACUGUAAAUCCGCCCCGAAAGGUUCGUAGGUUCAAAUCCUACUCCCUCCACCA